rnacentral:lncRNA from 1 species
GCAGCAAAGUUAAAACAUCGUUAUUUGUGGUGUACAUUUAGCUGUCUUACUUUUUCUCUUAGAAAGUUCAAACAAUAAACAAAGAAUAAACAGGACCAUAUUAACAGUUAGUUAGAAUAUAGUUUACCUAGUUAAUAUAAGUUGAUCUGUUUCAAUUUUUCGUUACAUAUCACAUACAGUUUUCCGAGUGCUUAAUUUGGUUAAAUAAUGAUGGUAUUGCAAACAUUAAGAUAAUGAUAAUGUAUGAAACUAUGUUCCCUCUUUAAUUAAACGAGUCUAAACAAAGGAAUCUAAAUGAGUAUGAUUGCAAUGAUUUCAAACAAAAUAAUAAAUAAUAUUGAU